UAAGGAAUAUUGGUCAAUGGAGGCAACUCUGAACCAGCCAUGCCGCGUGAAGGAUUAAGGCCCUCUGGGUUGUAAACUUCUUUUAUAUGGGAAGAAAUGUUCUGAUUCUUCAGAGCUUGACGGUACCAUAGGAAUAAGCACCGGCUAACUCCGUGCCAGCAGCCGCGGUAAUACGGAGGGUGCAAGCGUUAUCCGGAUUCACUGGGUUUAAAGGGUGCGUAGGUGGGCAGAUAAGUCAGUGGUGAAAUCUUCCGGCUUAACCGGAAAAUUGCCGUUGAUACUAUUUGUCUUGAAUAUUGUGGAGGUAAGCGGAAUAUGUCAUGUAGCGGUGAAAUGCUUAGAUAUGACAUAGAACACCGAUUUCGAAGGCAGCUCACUAUAUAAUUAUUGACACUGAGGCACGAAAGCGUGGGUAGCGAACA
rnacentral:rRNA from 1 species